rnacentral:rRNA from 1 species
UACAGAGGGGGCAAGCGUUAUUCGGAAUUAUUGGGCGUAAAGGGCGCGUAGGCGGCCUGGCAAGUGGAAGGUGAAAUCCCUCGGCUUAACCGAGGAACUGCCUCCCAAACUGCUUGGCUUGAGACCGGGAGAGGUGAGUGGAAUUCCCAGUGUAGCGGUGAAAUGCGUAGAUAUUGGGAGGAACACCAGUGGCGAAGGCGGCUCACUGGACCGGUACUGACGCUGAUGCGCGAAAGCCAAGGGAGCAAACAGG